rnacentral:lncRNA from 1 species
CCUCCCAGAGGCUUCAGUUUCUAAUACCACCACCUUAGGGGUUAAGAUUUCAACAUAUAAGUUUGGCGGGGUGGAGAGAAAUAAACAUUCAGACCACAGCAGAAGGUUGCCCUAAAUUCUGGAGUCGGGGAGGGGGGAAGUAUCGCAAGAAAACAGGAACACUGAAAGACAUGGGCUCCUUCUCAGAUCUUAGAGAACAAAAGAAAGAACUAAAUGGAGAUGUGGGAAUCACAAGGCCAUAGUUUAGGGUCUCGCAGUGCCAUUGGCAACAAAGCCUGAGAGCCUAGGCGAUAGAGGCAGAACACCCAGAGGAGAAGCCCCUUCCCCUUGCACCGUGAGCCUGGUGUUUGCAGCUUGGUAGCAGUGGCAACAGAACAAUCAGCUCUCCUACAAUAAACCAGGGACGGAACAAACAACAGCAGCAGCGGUCGCAGGGAAACAGAAUCUGUGUUGGCGUGCAGGGAGCAGGCAGCGUCUGCAAAGUAGCGCUGGCAACCACAACAGAGAGGCCAGCAACAGGAGGAGCAGGAGGAGCCCAAUGAAGCGUGCUGUGGAGGACAAAGAGCAGCAGAGGCAGGAAGCAGUGACAAGGAGUGAGCUGGGAAAUUCCAGCUGCCCUCCUGUCCUACUUACAAGGAAUAGCCUGGAACAAGUACAGUUGACUCUGAACAAGUCAGGUUUGAACUGCAUGGGUCCACUCAUAUGAAGAUUUCUUUCAACGAAAGCUACCCCGAGUGUGCCUGCCUUUCCUGCCUCCCCUUCCACCUCCUGCACCUCUACCAUCCCUGCCACCCCUAAGACAGCAAGGCCAGUCUCUUCUCUCUCCCCCUCCUCCUUCAGCCUAUUCAACUUGAAGAUGACAAGGAUGAAGAGCUUUAUGAUGAUCUACUUCCCCUUAAUGAACAGUAAAUAUAUUUUUUCUUCCUUACAAUUUUCUUAAUAGCAUUUUCUUUUCUCUAGCUUACCUUAUUGUAAGAAUACAGUGUAUAAUACAUAAAACAUACAAAAUAUGUGUUAAUAAACUGUUUAUGUUAUUGGUAAAGCAUCUGGUCAACAGUAGGCUGUUAGGAAAGUGUGAGGGUAGUCAAAAGUUAAGCUCAGAUUUUUGACUACGCAAGGGUCGGCAUCCCUAAACCCCAAGUUGUUCAAGGUCAACUAUAAUUCCCUAUUACUCCUCACUCUUCCUCCCUCCUUCCUCCUCUUCUUCCUUAUCCCUUCUCCUUCAUUUUCCCCACAGGCUAACUGCAACUCAGCCCACUUCAUUUCCUAAUUUUUCCUCCUCCCUGCAUCCCCCCGAGUCUUUGUGAGAUGCUCUUCCCUUCACUCCUGCCAGCCCUAUGGCAUCAUGGCAUUAUCAUGGUGUAUGGAGAACUUCUGUCUUAUCUGUUUCUCCCACUAACCCAGUGGUUUUCAACUGGAGACAAUUUUGCUCCUCAGGGGACAUUUGGAAAAGUCUGGAGACAUUUUUAAUUGUCACUUCUGGGGAAGGGGGUUGAUACUGUCAUCUACUGAGUAGAAGCCAAGGAUGCUGCUAAACAUCCUACAGUGCACAGGACAGCCCCUCACAAAAAAGGAUUAUCAGGCCCCAAAGGCCAAUAGUGCUAAGGUUGAGAAACUGCACUAGGCUGAGUUCCUUUAAAAUAUGACCCUAUUCAGCGCUGUUCCAGCAGCUCCACAGACAGUGUCCAGUGCCCAGUAGGAAGGAAUCCAAACAGUUUUAAUAUUACAUUUGAAAUUUUAAUUGAAAAACUCUUCUGACAGCUGUAUGUUAUAACUAAUAAGCAAUAUGACCACAUACCACAAUUCAAAGGAAAACCAAUAUCCAGAGGUAAAGGUGGCUUACACCCAUCAGUCUUUGACACUUCCUCCUAUCUAGUUCUCUGUAUUUCUUCCCUUUCUCCUUUUCUCUUGUCCCUGUGCUCACUGUCCCCCUUUACUGUCAUGUUUGUUUGAAUUCCACUUCAAAAUGGGAAUUUGAACAGAGUGCAAUAAAUUGUCCCACAUUUGUUUAUUUUAGGAAAUCAUUGCAUUUAAUUUUAACAUUUAAACAUAUCAAUUAGGCCAGGUGCGGUGGCUCACGCCUGUAAUCCCAGCACUUUGGGAGGCUGAGGCGGGCGGAUCACGAGGUCAGGAAAUCGAGACCAUCCUGGCUAACACGGCGAA